CUGGCUCAGACGAACGCUGGCGGCGUGCUUAACACAUGCAAGUCGAACGCGAAAGGGACUUCGGUCCUGAGUAAAGUGGCGCACGGGUGAGUAACGCGUAGAUAACCUGUCUUCAUGUCUGGAAUAAUACGCCGAAAGGGGUACUAAUACCGGAUAUUCUUGCUUUUCAUAAGUUAUGCAAGCAAAGGUGGCCUCUGCAUAUGCUACUGCAUGAAGAGGGGUCUGCGUACCAUUAGCUAGUAGGUGGGGUAAUGGCCUACCUAGGCGACGAUGGUUAGCGGGUCUGAGAGGAUGAUCCGCCACACUGGCACUGGAACACGGGCCAGACUCCUACGGGAGGCAGCAGUGAGGAAUAUUGCGCAAUGGGGGAAACCCUGACGCAGCGACGCCGCGUGAGUGAGGAAGGCCUUCGGGUCGUAAAGCUCUGUCAAGAGGAAAGAAGUGUACAAUGGCUAAUACCUGUUGUAUUUGACGGUACCUCUAAAGGAAGCACCGGCUAACUCCGUGCCAGCCGCCGC
rnacentral:rRNA from 1 species